GACGAACGCUGGCGGCGUGCUUAACACAUGCAAGUCGAGCGGUAAGGCCCUUUCGGGGGUACACGAGCGGCGAACGGGUGAGUAACACGUGGGUGACCUGCCCUCAGCUCUGGGAUAAGCCUGGGAAACCGGGUCUAAUACUGGAUAUGACUCCAUGACGCAUGUUGUGGGGUGGAAAGCCUUGUGCGGCUGAGGAUGGGCCCGCGGCCUAUCAGCUUGUUGGUGGGGUGAUGGCCUACCAAGGCGACGACGGGUAGCCGGCCUGAGAGGGCGACCGGCUACACUGGGACUGAGACACGGCCCAGACUCCUACGGGAGGCAGCAGUGGGGAAUCUUGCGCAAUGGGCGAAAGCCUGACGCAGCGACGCCGCGUGAGGGAUGACGGCCUUCCGGUUGUAAACCUCUUUCAGCUCCGACGAAGCGAGAGUGACGGUAGGAGCAGAAGAAGCACCGGCCAACUACGUGCCAGCA
rnacentral:rRNA from 1 species